rnacentral:rRNA from 1 species
GGAAUCUUCCGCAAUGGACGAAAGUCUGACGGAGCAACGCCGCGUGAGUGAAGAAGGUUUUCGGAUCGUAAAACUCUGUUGUUAAAGAAGAACAAGGAUGAGAGUAACUGCUCAUCCCCUGACGGUAUUUAACCAGAAAGCCACGGCUAACUACGUGCCAGCAGCCGCGGUAAUACGUAGGUGGCAAGCGUUGUCCGGAUUUAUUGGGCGUAAAGCGAGCGCAGGCGGUUCUUUAAGUCUGAUGUGAAAGCCCCCGGCUCAACCGGGGAGGGACAUUGGAAACUGGAGAACUUGAGUGCAGAAGAGGAGAGUGGAAUUCCACGUGUGGCGGUGAAAUGCGUAGAUAUGUGGAGGAACACCAGUGGCGAAGGCGACUCUCUGGUCUGUAACUGACGCUGAGGCUCGAAAGCGUGGGGAGCAAACAGGAUUAGAUACCCGAG